rnacentral:rRNA from 1 species
UACGUAGGGAGCAAGCGUUGUCCGGAAUCAUUGGGCGUAAAGCGCGCGUAGGUGGCUCUAUAAGUCCGUUGUGAAAGUCAAAGGCUCAACCUUUGAAAGCCGAUGGAUACUGUAGAGCUAGAGUCCGGAAGAGGCGAGUGGAAUUCCUGGUGUAGCGGUGGAAUGCGCAGAUAUCAGGAGGAACACCAAUAGCGAAGGCAGCUCGCUGGGACGGUACUGACACUAAGGCGCGAAAAGCGUGGGGGAGCGAAACAGG